rnacentral:siRNA from 1 species
ACGCCAGAUAGGUGUAGAGAGGCC